CAGCCGCCGCGGUAAUACCGGCGGCCCGAGUGGCGGCCACUAUUAUUGGGCCUAAAGCGUCCGUAGCCGGGUUGGGAAGUCCUCCGGGAAAUCUGGCCGCUUAACGGUCAGAAUGCCGGAGGAUACUCCCAGCCUAGGGAGCGGGAGAGGCCGAGGGUAUUCCCGGAGUAGGGGUGAAAUCCUAUAAUCCCGGGAGGACCACCUGUGGCGAAGGCGCUCGGCUGGAACGCGUCCGACGGUGAGGGACGAAGGCCAGGGGAGCAAACCGGAUUAGAUACCCGGGUAGUCCUGGCUGUAAACGAUGCGGACUUUGUGUCGGACAAGCUAUGAGCUUGUCCGGUGCCGGAGGGAAACCGUUAAGUCCGCCGCCUGGGGAGUACGGCCGCAAGGCUGAAACUUAAAGGAAUUGGCGGG
rnacentral:rRNA from 1 species